CGGAAAAAGCUACUGGCCCAAAACAUACAGGAAAUCCAGGACUCAAUGAGAAGAUUAAACCUAAGGAUAAUAGGUAUAGAAGAGAGUGAAGACUCCCAGUUCAAAGGACCAGUAAAUAUCUUCAACAAAAUCAUAGAAGAAACCUUUCGUAACCUAAAGAAAGAGAUGCUCAUAAACAUACAAGUAGGCAACAGAACUCCAAAUAGAUUGGACCAGAAAAGAAACUCCUCCCUUCACAUAAUAGUCAAAACACCAAAUGCACAAAUAAAGAAAGAAUAUUAAAAACAGUAAGGGAAAAAGGUCAAGUAACAUAUAAAGGCAGAGCUAUCAGAAUCAUACCAGACUUCUCGCCAGAGACUAUGAAAGCCAGAAGAUCCUGGACAGAUGUCAUACAGACCCUAAGAGAACACAAAUGUCAGCCCAGGUUACUAUAACCUGCAAAACUCUGUCCUCAGGCCUUAUAAUGGCUUGCAAAUUAAACAUUAUAAUUCAAUGUCUUUCUAUAGCUCCAUGUGUGCUAUUCAGAAAUAUUUUUGUUUGCAUCAAACUGACUUGUUUUUCAUCUAGAAAUUCUUAAUAUGUUUCCUGUAACUUCACCAUUCUCUUUGUCCAUUGUUAUACCAGGCAAGUGGUGCCUACCUUUAUGUUGUUUUAGCCUAGUUUUCAUGUUCCACAGUUAAAAUAAAUUAGUAAAAUGAGGUUUGUGCAUUAACUC
rnacentral:lncRNA from 1 species